CGGUAGCUCAGUCGGUAGAGCAAAGGACUGAAAAUCCUUGUGUCGCUGGUUCAAUUCCGCCCCGCG
rnacentral:tRNA from 1 species